rnacentral:pre_miRNA from 14 species
CUACUCUGUUCCCUCUUUCUAAUCUUAGUACCCAGACGCAGGUGCUAUUGCAGGGCAGUGCACUUGGGCAAGGAUUCACAGGAGGUCAG